AAAGGUUUGAAACGUGACAAAAGGGAAAAGUUGGUUUUGGCGCAUUGGUUUUGGGGUAUGGUAGAGAAGGAGAAAACGGUUAAAGGAAUCUCAAAAAAAGGAACGGUGGGGAGGAGCAUGAUACAUACCGCAUGACCACAGCCAAAAAGGAGCAGGAGGAACACAUCUAAGGGGGAAUCAAAACAGAAUAUUGACCUCAAAGGCCAUAUUCAUUCAGAGGAAGAUUUGGGAGGAAUUUUGGUAACAAAAAAAAGACCAAAAUUCAUCAGAGAAAAAGGAGAGGAGAUCGCGACACUCUCAGGCUUCACCAUUCCCUCAUCGAUUACAUCAUUGUUAUUCCCUCAUUCAUUGAUCAGAGAUCAGGCCGCAAUGGAUUCCCCAAUUUAUUCAUCAGAUAACACCUCUACCGUAUCACCUCUACCGGGAGCAUUCACUCAAUUUGAUCCUCUUUCACUUUCUCUGCUGAAAAUUAGUCAUUCUGGCUCUCAUUUAUCGAGUUGAUCAGAAACAUAUUCAUCAUCCGUCAUUCACCUCUCACACUACCCCCAAGUUCUAAUUCACUUACAUUCUACUCUCUAUCAACACAACAGUAUCACCCCCUUUGGAACCAACCUCCUCCAUCACAGAAUCACCAAACAAAAGAAAAACAAAGAAACUCAAUCACGCCUUACCUUCUUCUUCCAUUUUCAUCACCCAAAAACAUCCUUUCAUUACCUGCAAAUCCAACAGAACAACCACAAUCAUCCUCACCCACUCUCACGACAACGUCAUCACCAAAGCCCCAAGACUCACGCCCAGCACAACACAAUACGAACUAGAGGUUAAUUGUUGGCGGUGGGUGUGAUUUUUUAGUAGAAGCGUUGCGAUCAUGACGAUUUGGUUUCAUCUUCGAUUCGCAUAGCAAAGGAAGAAGAGUUUUCCUCGUCGGCAAUGGAGCAUCGACCUUGGCUGACGGCAACGUCUUUAGGCAAGCGACAACGAGAACGAAGAACUCUCUGAGUUAGGGUCUAGCUCACUGAGUAAAGGGGGUAGGUGUUUUCAAUCGCCGUGAGAAACGCGGUUUCUUCCAGCAUAGGUUUGUGGUGUUUGGUCUUGUGAGUGGCGGCAACGGCAACGCCCAGUCUCGUUGUGACAGUAGCAGCGGCGAGCAAGGACGAGAUUACCCUCCCCCUCGCGUGAAGAGGAGAGGAAGAAAAUAGGGCUUGGUGUAGUGACCGGCGGAGAUUGUGGUGGUGACCGACGCCACUAGGCGACACCUUGGACGACGGCUUGCAGCGGUGGUUGCCCUUUGCGCGCACCUGAGAGGAUGCAGGUGCCACCCUAGGUUUCCUGCUUCGCGGCUUUGGAUCCAAGUGGAGAGGGUUAGAGACCUCAAUCUUGGACGCGGAUGGCAAAUGAGGAUUCAAUGGAAACCCUAAGGUGUUCUGGAAAAAAAAAAAAGGGCUUGGGCCAGACAAGUGGGCUGGAUCUUCUUCCUGUCGCCACACGCGAUUCCUAUGGGUGUUGCUCCCUGCACCUCCCCGACUGCUCCCUCCACCUCCC
rnacentral:lncRNA from 1 species